rnacentral:rRNA from 1 species
AGAGUUGAUCGUGGCGUCAGGACGAACGCUGGCGGCGUGCCUAACACAUGCAAGUCGAACGGAGCUAAGGAAGCUUGCUUCUGGAGCUUAGUGGCGGACGGGUGAGUAACACGUGAGUAACCUGCCUUUCAGAGGGGAAUAAUGUUUGGAAACGGACACUAAUACCGCAUAAUAUAUUUUAGUCGCAUGAUUGAAAUAUCAAAGGAGCAAUCCGCUGAAAGAUGGACUCGCGUCUGAUUAGCCAGUUGGCGGGGUAACGGCCCACCAAAGCGACGAUCAGUAGCCGGACUGAGAGGUUGAACGGCCACAUUGGGACUGAGACACGGCCCAGACUCCUACGGGAGGCAGCAGUGGGGGAUAUUGCACAAUGGGCGCAAGCCUGAUGCAGCCAACGCCGCGUGCAGGAAGACGGUCUUCGGAUUGUAAACUGUUGUCCUCUGUGACGAUAAUGACGGUAGCAGAGGAGGAAGCCACGGCUAACUACGUGCCAGCAGCCGC